GGCAGUGUUGCCUAAUACACAGGGCACCUGACUGGAACUCAGGCGGCCUGGUUCUAUUUCUGCUCUGCCA
rnacentral:tRNA from 1 species